CCCGGUUGACUAGGAGCUGGCGGUCCGAGCUGUGGCUUGGAAGACCGACGCGAUGAAGCCCAGACCUGCAGGGUUCGUGGAUAAUAAACUCAAGCAGCGAGUCAUCCAGUAUAGACUAUGGUCGAAGAAAAAGAAAUGCUUUUAGGAUUCAGGUAGAAAAAGUAUUUAGCAUAAUUAGUAGUGAGAAGGAACUUAAGAAUUUAACAGAAUUAGAAGAUGAACAUUUGGCAAAAAGGGCAAGACAAGGUGAAGAGGAUAAUGACGUCUCGCUCUGUCACCCAGGCUUCAGUGCACUGGCACAAUCAUGGCUUACCGCAGUCUUGACGUCCCAGGCCCAAGCGAUCCUCCCACCGCAGCCUCACAGGUAUACUGAAAGCUAUUCUGAUGAUGAUUCAAGUAUGGAAGACUACCCAGAUCCACAGUCAGCAAAUCACAUGAACAGUUCCCUGCUGUCUUUAUAUCGGAAAGGAAAUCCUGAUUCUGUUUCAAAUACUCCUGAGAUGGAGCAAAGAGAAACCACCUCUUCAACACCACGGAUAAGUUCCAAAACAGGCUCCAUUCCCUUGAAGACCCCUGCCAAAGAUUCUGAAGGAGGAUGGUUUAUUGACAAAACCCCAAGUGUAAAGAAAGACAGUUUUUUCUUGGACCUGUCAUGUGAGAAAAGUAAUCCUAAGAAGCCAAUAACUGAGAUAC
rnacentral:lncRNA from 10 species